rnacentral:rRNA from 1 species
UUGGAGGGCAAGUCUGGUGCCAGCAGCCGCGGUAAUUCCAGCUCCAAUAGCGUAUAUUAAAGUUGUUGCAGUUAAAAAGCUCGUAGUUGAAUUUCGGGAUCAAUUUAUUGGUCGUGCUAUUGUACGUACUGGUAUUAUUGAUUCCUACCUUCUGACGAACCAUGAUGUCAUUAAUUUGGUGUCAUGGGGAAUCAGGACUGUUACUUUGAAAAAAUUAGAGUGUUUAAAGCAGGCUCACGCUUGAAUACAUUAGCAUGGAAUAACGAAAUAGGACGUUUGAUUCUAUUUUGUUGGUUUCUAGGAUCGACGUAAUGAUUAAUAGGGAUAGUUGGGGGCAUUAGUAUUCAAUUGUCAGAGGUGAAAUUCUUGGAUUUAUUGAAGACUAACUACUGCGAAAGCAUUUGCCAAGGAUGUUUUCAUUAAUCAAGAACGAAAGUUAGGGGAUCGAAGACGAUCAGAUACCGUCGUAGUCUUAACCAUAAACUAUGCCGACUAGGGAUCGGAUGAUGUUAAUUUUAUAAUGACUCAUUCGGCGCCUUACGGGAAAC